CAUUAUAUAGUUUAUUUAAAAUUUAAGUUUUGGAGACUUGGGAAAUACUUAUUGUAUUUUAAUGA
rnacentral:tRNA from 1 species